rnacentral:tRNA from 1 species
GGGAAGGUGGCCGAGUGGUUAAAGGCGGUAGAUUGUAAAUCUAUUAAUCUUUUGGUUUUCGCAGGUUCGAAUCCUGCUCUUCUCA